rnacentral:rRNA from 1 species
CGGGAUAGCCAUUGGAAACGAUGGGUAAUACCGGAUGUGCUCGCUCCGCACCUGCGGAGUUAUGUAAAGGUGGGGAUCUUCGGACCUGCCACUUUAAGAUGGGCCCAUAUCCUAUCAGCCUGUUGGUGAGGUAACAGCUCACCAAGGCUUUGACGGGUAGCCGACCUGAGAGGGUGACCGGCCACGGUGGGACUGAGACACUGCCCAGACUCCUACGGGAGGCUGCAGUCGAGAAUCAUUGUCAAUGUACGAAAGUAUGAACAUGCGACGCCGCGUGGAGGACGAAGGCCUUCGGGUUGUAAACUCCUGUCAUGAGGGAGGAACCGCAGACGGUUAAUACCCGUUCUGUUUGACAGUACCUCAAGAGGAAGUCACGGCUAACUCUGUGCCAGCAGCCGCGGUAAUACAGAGGUGGCAAGUGUUGUUCGGAUUUACUGGGCGUAAAGGGCCCGCAGGCGGUUCUGUGUGUCAGAUGUGAAAAUCCACGGCUCAACCGUGGAACUGCAUUUGAAACUACAGAACUAGAGUACAGCAGGGGAGAGGGGAAUUCACGGUGUAGCGGUGAAAUGCGUAGAUCUCAUGAAGAACACCGGUGGCGAAAGCGCCUCUCUGGACUGAUACUGACGCUCAUGGACGAAAGCCGGGGGAGCGAAAAGGAUUAGAUACCCUUGUAGUCCCGGGCAUAAACGGUGUGCACUUGAUGUGGGAGGAUUACCCCCUUUCGUGUUGGAGCUAACGCGUUAAGUGCACCGGCUGGGAAGUACGGCCGCAAGGUUAAAACUCAAAGGAAUUGACGGGGGCCCGCACAAUCGGUGGAGCAUGUGGCUUAAUUCGAUGCAACGCGAAGAUCCUUACCAGGGCUUGACAUGAUACUGCAUACGACCCGAAAGGGACGUAGCCUUCGAGGGUGUAUCACAGGUGCUGCAUGGCUGUCGUCAGCUCGUUCCGUGAGGUGUUGGGUUAAGUCCCGCAACGAGCGCAACCCCUGUGUUUAGUUGCCAGCACGUAAUGGUGGGAACUCUAAACAGACUGCCUGUGUAAGCAGGAGGAACGCCUGGGGAUGACGUCAAGUCAGCAUGGUCCUUAUGUCCUGGGCUGCACACGUGCUACAAUGGGUGGUGCAGAUGGAAGCAAUAUCGCGAGAUGGAGCAAACCCUCAAAACCAUCCUCAGUUCGGAUUGGAGUCUGAAUUCGACUCCAUGAAGUUGGAUCGCUAGUAAAGGCGUA